rnacentral:lncRNA from 1 species
UGAAAGUCAGGUCGGAUUAAGCCAUAGUACGGGAAAAACUAUGCUACCUGUGAGCCCCGUCCAAGGACGUAAAAAGAAGUCAGGCCAUCACAAAUGCCACAGCUUGAGUAAACUGUGCAGCCUGUAGCUCCACCUGAGGAGGUGUAAAAAACCCGGGAGGCCACAAACCAUGGAAGCUGUACGCAUGGCGUAGUGGACUAGUGGUUAGAGGAGACCCCUCCCUUACAAAUCGCAGCAACAACGGGGGCCCGAGGUGAGAUGAAGCUGUAGUCUCACUGAAAGGACUAGUGGUUAGAGG